rnacentral:rRNA from 1 species
AACGAACGCUGGCGGCAGGCUUACCACAUGCAAGUCGAACGCAUGCCUUCGGGCAUGAGUGGCAGACGGGUGAGUAACGCGUGGGAACCUACCCCUUGGUACGGGAUAGCUCCGGGAAACUGGAGAUAAUACCGUAUGUGUCCUGAGGGACAAAGAUUCAUCGCCAAGGGAUGGGCCCGCGUCGGAUUAUCUAGUUGGUGGGGUAACGGCCUACCAAGGCGACGAUCCGUAGCUGGUCUAAGAGGAUGCUCAGCCACUUUGGGACUGAGACAAGGCCCAAACUCCUACGGGAGGCAGCAGUGGGGAAUAUUGGACAAUGGGCGCAAGCCUGAUCCAGCCAUGCCGCGUGAGUGAUGAAGUCCCUAGGGUUGUAAAUCUCUUUCACCGGUGACGAUAAUGACGGUAACCGGAGAAGAAGCCCCGGCUAACUUCGUG